CGAGGCCGUGGCCGGCGGCGCCGACGGCGUGGUGGCCUGCGGUGCCACGGCGCGCAGUUGUUCGACGCUGCGGUCCUGC
rnacentral:tRNA from 1 species